UACGUAGAAGACUAGUGUUAUUCAUCUUUAAAUAGGUUUAAAGGGGUACCUAGACGGUAUAAUUAGUCUUUAACAGGAAACGGUUAUACUAGAGUUAUAUAUGAGGAGGUGAGUAUUUGUGGAGUAGAGUUUGAAAUUCUUUGAUACCAUGAAGAACUGGUAAAGGCGUAAAGCAACCUUUUAAUCUAAUAACUGACGUUGAGGGACGAAGGGCUCGGGUCGCGAACCAGG
rnacentral:rRNA from 1 species